rnacentral:piRNA from 1 species
GUGUGCAGCAUAAAAGACAGAGAACCCUG